AAAAUAAAAAUAAAACAAAGCCCAAAUCAGUACCUAAAAUACUACCCCAUAGCCCGUUACAGUGACCCGUUACACCCAGACCCAAAAACAAACGAGGUCCAAGUGGCCCAAUUUGUUAACAAACAGCAGAGAGACCUAGGGUUUCAAAAACCCUAGGCGCCGCAAGCAUCCCAAGCGUCAUGAUCGUUCGUCUCGUGCCGUUCCAGUGGGCUCCAUCGGUGCCGUGACUUUGGCCUCGUACCACGCCUCAAUCAACGCGUGAAUCGACACCACCGUGAUGUUCUCGCGAAUACCUGCAAGACAGAACAAAAGAAACCAACAUACACGAAGCAGAAAAAGAAACCAAAUAGCAGCAAAUAAACUGAAAUCAAUAAGGAAAGAAAUUAAUGAUUUCUUUCCUAAACAUGUAUAGUCUAAAAGCUAUAAAGCCUUUCUUCCGAUCUGUAAAAGAAAUUGGUUUUUUAGUUUUUAAAAAACACACACAAAGAUUCAAUAAAAGGCAUAGUUUUUUUUUUUACAAAGUUACUGUACCAACAGUCAAUCGAAAGUAGAGGUGAUUCAUUUUUUUUUCUUUUGUUCUAAGUAUAUACAAAUAAAUACUAAAAGAUAAUAAGAUUACCUUUUUUUUACCAUAAAACGAAUCGAUUCAUAUUUUGACCGCCGUACUCGGUGAAGUCGGCAAUGGCGCGUGGGCGCGUAUGAGCCCGAUGGCCGGAGCUUGGCCUGACGGAGGCCAGAGCCCGGAGAGCCUUUCCUCUCCCCUCUCUCAG
rnacentral:lncRNA from 1 species